CCUACGGGUGGCAGCAGUGGGGGAUAUUGCACAAUGGGGGAAACCCUGAUGCAGCGACGCCGCGUGGGUGAAGAAGUAUUUCGGUAUGUAAAGCCCUAUCAGCAGGGAAGAAAGAAGACGGUACCUGACUAAGAAGCCCCGGCUAACUACGUGCCAGCAGCCGCGGUAAUACGUAGGGGGCGAGCGUUAUCCGGAUUCACUGGGUGUAAAGGGAGCGUAGACGGCGGUGCAAGCCAGGAGUGAAAGCCCGGGGCCCAACCCCGGGACUGCUCUUGGAACUGUGCGGCUGGAGUGCGGGAGGGGCAGGCGGAAUGCCUGGUGUAGCGGUGAAAUGCGUAGAUAUCAGGAGGAACACCGGCGGCGAAGGCGGCCUGCUGGACCGCGACUGACGUUGAGGCUCGAAAGCGUGGGGAGCGAACAGGAUUAGAUACCCUGGUAGUC
rnacentral:rRNA from 1 species